CACUUUGCAUCAGCAGCACCAUGCUCCAGUGCUCUGGGAGACUUUAUAGUGGUGACACUUGAACACUGGAUGACUGACAGCUGUCCUUCAUGACAACAGAAGACACAGAAAUCCUCCUCAUCAGAAACAUGACUUUGAUCUGCGUCCUCAUCUGGACUCUCCUCUGCUGUUGCUUCACAGAGUCCAGAGGACAGAUCACAGUGACUCAGCCUGGAGCAGUGAGCUCUGCUCUGGGAGGCUCCGUCACCAUCAGAUGCACGACCAGUCAGCAUGUUCGUGUUUAUAAUGGCAAGCACCGUUUAGCCUGGUACCAGCAGAAAGAUGGAGGAGUUCCUAAACUGCUCAUUUCUAAUGCUAACAGCAGAGAAUCAGGGAUUCCAGCUCGUUUUACAGGCAGUGGAUCAAACUCUGACUUCACUCUGACCAUCAGUGGAGUCCAGACUGAAGAUGAAGCAGUUUAUCACUGUCAGAGUCUCCAUUACCCCAACAGUCAGUAUGUGUUCACACAGUGAAAAGGCGUCGUACAAAAACCUC